rnacentral:rRNA from 1 species
AUUAUUUUAAGCUAUAUAUUAGGAGUAAAUAAAAUUUAUGAAAUUAAAAAAUUUUGGCGGUAUUUUAAGCUUAUUAGAGGAAUUUGCUCUGUGAUGGACACAACGCCUUAAUCUUACUUAAUUUAGUAAUUUAAAUCAGUUUGUAUACCACUAUAUUAAUUAUAUUGUAUAGUUAUAUUUAAUAUUUUUUUUAAAAAAAAUAUAUUAAGUCAAGGUGCAUCUAAUAAUUAUGAAUGAAGUGAAUUACAUUAAUUUUAAUGUAAUUUUUUACAUGAAAAAAUUAAUUAGGAUUUAAUAGUAAAAUACUAAUAUUAUGAGUAUUUGAAUCAAGCUCUAAAAUAUGCAC